rnacentral:rRNA from 1 species
UACAGGGGGGGCAAGCGUUGUUCGGAAUUACUGGGCGUAAAGGGCUCGUAGGCGGCCAACUAAGUCACACGUGAAAUCCCCAGGCUUAACCUGGGAACUGCGUGUGAUACUGGAUGGCUUGAAUCCGGGAGAGGGAUGCAGAAUUCCAGGUGUAGCGGUGAAAUGCGUAGAUAUCUGGAGGAAUACCGGUGGCGAAGGCGGCAUCCUGGACCGGCAUUGACGCUGAUGAGCGAAAGCUAGGGGAGCAAACGGGG